CCUUCGAUAGCUCAGUUGGUAGAGUGGAGGACUGUAGAUCCUUAGGUCGCUGGUUCGAAUCCGGCUCGAAGGA
rnacentral:tRNA from 1 species